UUUGUACGCCUGUAUUCCUUGCCAAGAUACGGGUCCGGGAUAGGUCACUGUGCGAAUGUGGGUUAGACGAAGGCACCGUAGAUCACAUUUUCUUCUCUUGUCCGAGAUUCAAUAUCUCUUUGUAUGAUGUGGUACCUUCAAAUAUUCCACGACCCAUUAAUUUUUACUCACUUCUAACUCUUAUGGACCCGCCCCUAACUUCUAUCCUUAUUAAGUAUGUCCUAAAUGGGUCACGUCUACAAUUUGCCGUUUACGCUUAGGGCCGUUUGUACGCCUGUAUUCCUUGCCAAGAUACGGGUCCGGGAUAGGUCACUGUGCGAAUGUGGGUUAGACGAAGGCACCGUAGAUCACAUUUUCUUCUCUUGUCCGAGAUUCAAUAUCUCUUUGUUCCCAGUCUAUCCUUCCACAAAACUCAAAAUUUAACCGAACAUUCUCGUCUCACAAGUCAAAAGUUUACACCUCGACAUUGGCAGAAUCCACCUUGCUAAAUUUAGCGAGGAGUAAAAGCCC